rnacentral:lncRNA from 1 species
UGUAAAUACCCUUGACGUUUCCCUCCCUCUACCAACAUCAUCUGCAAAAUUCAGCAUAUUUCAACACUUACGGCUAUCGUAGCAUAUAUUGCCCAGGGCACGUCCUGUUUGCAGCAAUACUUCCUGAUCUUUGCAGUUUAACAUCUGCACCAAAGGAGGGAUCAACCCAGCAUCCACACAUGGGUUCCGCAUAAAUUCAUUUCUGGCUACUUCUGCUAUGAUGUUAGCUACUUUUGCUGUGCAGGAAGACUGUGGCAUCAACAGACUCGCAAACACCUGAAGAACUCCACUUUUCUGGAUUUUUUCACUUGUCUCCAUAUUGUUUUGUGCCAGAGCUUGAAGCAGGCAGUCCAAGCAUCCCUCCAAGCUAUCUGCUGUGCUGUCAGUGGCUGUUAUCUUCAGCUUUUUCAGGGCAUCACUUAGAUUAUCCAUGGUGGCGCCGCGGCCUCCUCCUCCUUCCCCUCCUCCCGGAGCCACCGCCGCCUCUCGGGGAGGCGCGGGAGAGCUGUGCGCGGAACGGAGCGGAGCGGGGCGAGCGCGGCAGCGGCGCGGAGGCUGCGUGCGGCGCGGCUAUGAGUCAGGGUAGCACAUCCGGGCAAGGCCGCCUGGGAGACACCCCGCCCGCCCGGCGGCACCCUGCCGUGCCGCUGCCGCCGCCGGGGAGGGGCGGGCGGGCACGGAGGAGGCGGCGCGGGGCCGGCCUGGCCGCGGGAGGGGCGGGGAAGGAGGGAGCCGAGGGCGGUGCCGGCGGGGGUUGCGGCGGUCCCGCGCCGCCUUUGUUAGCGGGGCUGAGGGGUGGCGGCGCGGAGGAUGGGGGCUGUUGGCGGGCUCCUCGGGCUCUGUCAGGCGGCCCUUUGCCCGAAGGGAGGGCUGAGCCGGGGGGCGAGCGGUGCGAGAUGGACCCCGUGAACGUGGAUAGGCGGAGGAAGGGAGGGAGCUGCCGGGCAAAUAGCCGUUGUCUUAAGCCGUACGUUUUGCUGAAGCGAUGCUGGGAACUGUGAGGUCGAAAGCGAAAGGCUUCUGCCCGCGGUAGUUGUGUGCGGAGGACAUUUUUAACAUGAGAAUGAAUCUCUGUGAUCCCCCCUCCUCUCCGCCCUGGGAUGUUCAGUCUCUGUAGCACAGCGAGCAGUCGGGAACGCUGUACUUUUACAGUCCUCGCGUUGUAUCGCUUUCAUUGGGAGCCUUUGCGUUAACAACGUGGCAACAUUCAGAGCGAUUUCGCUUUCUUCAAAUCUUCCCUUAUUCGCAGUUUUACUCGAGUAAAUGCCACGUUAGGCAGGGUAGGACGAAAGAGUCAGAGAGUCUUGUUGCUCCACAAGCACGGGCAGCGGGCGUAGCAAGGAGGAGCGAGGGGGAAAAAGCAGCUGCAGCUGAGUCAGCCCCGAGGUGCACGAGUGGCAGCCGGCAGCUUCCGGGGGGUCCUCCCUGGAAGAGGGCUCGGGAGCUUUUGUGCCUGAGGAGGGGCGGUGGGACAUGACAAGCAAAGACUCAUUUGCCGGCCCUUCUGUGCGGCACAAGACGAAUGCUCUGAGGUUUGUCCAUUUACACCGCUGUAGCUGGGCGAUUCACCACGUCUUUCCUUCUGACAUCAGCAGGAUUUUGCAGUUGACUUCAGCGGGGUUAACCACUGUCCCUUGGUGCAGAACUAGAUCCUGAAGAUAGGUAGCUUUAUGGUCAGCUGAUGUUGAAAAUGACCGUGUUUUUACUAUGGUUAUACAACUGAAAGGCUUCGUUGCAUUGAGACUGCAGAAAAUUCAUUCAAAGCAGAACACAUUUGUGUUUUGCCUGCAGAGUUUGCCUAAUUUAAUCCCUAAUAAAAUACAGCAGUUCUUAGAUGAAUCUAAGUGGUGAAAAGUUGCUGCCUUAUUCUGCCUUCAACUAUUUUAAAAUCAAGCCUGAACUUUGUCUCUUACGUUUUUGCCUCCUUAUUCCCUUCUGUUGGCAAAAGCUUUUCCUCUGGCUUUAUAACUGUCCCCCAGAUGUUUCCUUCUCUUGUCUGGGGAAAAAGGCAGUGAACUUCUGUUGUCACUGACCCAUCUCUGAGGGAUCAUGGAGGAUAUUUUCCCACAUGUUUCUCCAUCUUAUCGCUCAUUUGGGUACCUGGGGUAGAUCAGAGCAUUCUCUAAAAAUGUAUGGGUUUGAUGAGUGUACUUGCAUGUCUUAACUGAAAUACACACCAAUCUUCGCAAAGCCCAGGAAGGCAACGGUGUUACCUGCUCUGAGAGAGGAUUUUGGAAACAGUGACUUCCAGAGGGCUCUGCUUUUGAGGAAUUGCCAGUAAGAGGCCUGGUACUAUGGAGCAUCUUUGGUUAUUGCUGUUUUUAGUAGAUCUAAAGCUACUGCCCGAAACUUGGGGCUGUUUGGACCAAAUAUUAAUUGUAGAAAAUUGUAGGAAAUGUUCAGGUUCUCAGUUAGAUACAAGUUUACAACACAACAAUGGUACUGUUGUGAAAGAUAAAUAAGUAAGUAAAUAAAACCCAAAUCAAAACAGCCUUUCUUGCAGCAGAAUGACAGACCUGUAUGUAUGGCUACAUGCGGUAUAUUGCAAAAGGGUGAGGAAACUUUAGGAGAGGAAUUUCCAUCUCCAAGAGCGUACACAGGAAACCUUUGUGCCAUCAGGCUUUUUAGAUGCCGUAGCUGUAAAUGACAAUAUGCUAAACCAGUGCAGUGUACUAUCUUUUUUAAUGAGAUAAGCAGCUGUAUAGUACAAUGCAGUGAUGCCCGUGAGAAUGUCUCAUUAAAAGCAAUGAAAUGAUGGUAUCCUUGAUGUAUUCAUCAAGGAAAAAAAUUAAUUUAAAGAACCAAGUUUUUGAGAAAAGCUGGGAACUAGAAGCAAUGUGACAUUUGCAGUAGAAACAAGGAAGAAAGCCAUACGAGCACAUUCUGUAGAUUUCAGCUGAUGAGAUCGCUGCUUAUUUCUGCAGUUGUAAUGCAGCUGUGAAAAUCGUGUUGUAGACUGCAGAAAUUACAAAGCAGUUACUAGUGAUGUCUCUGUGCUCCCGAGUACUGACUAUAUCUGAUGUUCUGCAAGAAAAUUGGGUCAAAGUGACUUUCCAGUGCUUACUACUUCAUGAAUUCUCAGUCUCACAUCUUGCAUCAGAUUCACAUUCUCAGCACAUCUCCUCACCCCUGACAGAGCAUCUCCUUGAAAAUCUUCUCACAUGCGUUAUCUAAUUUAAUUUGGCACAAAGGUGCAUGUAAGGAAUAUCUUCUAUUUGCCUCUGUACUAAUGUUAGAAACCUGCAUGAUUGACAAGAGGAUGCUGGGAUGCUCAAAUACAUGGGGAAAUGUGAUAUGGUUGAUAUCUCCAUAACUUAGUAGAAUUUGGAUCAUCUGACAGGAAUAGGCUAUCAUAAAUUGUUCCAUACGAAAAGGAGGACAAAGCGUGAAGUGUGGGCAGUGCUUUACCCCUUGCUUCCUACGAGAGGCACAAGCAACACUGAGUCCUGGCACUGUGAGAAAUUUUAGUUCUUGUAGAACUAGAGGUGGAGAUGCUGCAGUGCUGUCUGUGAACUUGCACUCAGAAACCAGGACAAGCCAUUUCUUGAUGUCUUCCUUGUAAUACGUGAAUGGGAAGAUGAUGACAAAGUAUGAUCAGGGAAAGACUGUCCACAAAGGUGACUUGAUGUUUGCUAGCUAUUUGCUGCCGCUGAGAGCAAGUUGCCUCAUAUUUUCCACGGGGUAAGAACAGUUGUUAAUACAGAAGCUAACGUGACCUUGUCCUGUGAUAACUCAUUCAUGUUCCCAUAUCCGGUGUGUAAGUAUUUGUGAUAAAGUCUUACUGGCAAGUGCUGGAACUUGAAAUUAGAGAGCACCAACCUUAACAUAAGGUAUAAUUUCAUAGCUGUAAGUGCAAUUUAAAUAUCAGAAUGACUGACCUGGAAAAGUGAAAGCCGAGAACCUCAUGUUUAUUUGUUUGCUUGUUUUCACACGCAGCUUACCUAUUGUUCAAAAUGCAAAGCUUUACUUCAGCUGAAGGAAAACACUGCAUGUGUUGUAUGAGAGAGUGCAUACACUGCUGGUCAAGCUCAAAUAUUGCAGAAACCCUUUCUGGCCUGAAAAUCUGUGUCUUUCUGAAUGGAUAAUGCCUCCCUCUUUCUUCCCAAUUUCUGGGGAAAGUAAUAAGGCCCAUUCGUGCUUGGAACAUUUAUAACACGAAGACAGUGGCAGCAGGAUAGUUUUACUUUUCAGAGCUGCAGGAGGUUUCCUACACAAGAAGGAGUCUUUUCCUCCUUCCUAUCAAACGAAGCUCGUCACUUGCAUUAUUUCUGUUAGCUUCCUAUGUUUUAAUUUUUCUAUUUUAUGACUUUCCCACAGCCAGGAGAUAGGAAAGCAACUGGAGGGUAAACUUGUUCCGAGAAAAUUUUUAAGUCUAAAAUCAAAUUAGAUGACCUAGUCACAGAAUCUGGGCUUGGGAAAGUCCUUACUCCCAGGAUAGGUUGGUAGGGGCCUUGAAUGUAUUUGUCUUUUACUUCACUACCUGGAUUCUCUCUGUAAAUCUCACCUAACUGAUGUCCAGCCAUGCAGCUGUCUUGGGUAUGUGCACUGGGUUUACAUGACAAGGUUUAGGUAGUAGGGGGCUUCAGGGAUGGCCUCUGUGAGCAGAGCUUCCCUGCAGCCCAGGAGAGGCCCAUAGUGGAGCAGGCUGUCCACCAUUCCCCAUCCCUCUGAGCCUCUCAGGAAGAUGAAGCAGAAGAGGAUGGGGGAAGGAGGUUUUAGUUUGCUUUUACUUCUCACUGCUCAAGUCUGUUAGCAACAGACAAUAAAUUACGUUAAUCUCCCCUAUGCUAAGUCUGUUUUACCUGUGGUGGUUAUUGGUGAGCAAUGUCCCUAUCUCAAACCAUCUGCUUUCUUCAUCAUAUUUUCUCCCCCUCUCCUGAGCUGGAGGAGUGGCAGAGCCAUGUGGUAUUUAGCUGCCUGUUGGUGUGGUAACCAGUAUGGCAACCUGGUGGUGGUUCCCAUUCUUCAGUGGUGGUACACAGCUGUAUUUGACCAAAUCUCUUCAGCAGUCAGGAGAGUAAAGUCAGACUGAUCCAUGAAACAUUUAGGUUAAGUAUAGCAGCCUGUGUUACACAGAUGAUCCUAUCGCUCCUGACAUUAUCCCUAUUCCACGAGAGGGCUCGUGGAAGAAAGCAGGAAAGGAUGAACUAGCUUUGGUCUAGACGAUCUCCAGAGGUCCCUUCCAACCCCUACGAUUCUGUGAUCUAUGUGAUCCUGUGAUCCUUACAUCCCCUCAAGUGGGGAGGCAGGAAAUCUGCUCUCUUCAGACAAUUUAAAUGCCAUAAAAAUGAGAGACUAAAGUACAAAUAGGUUUUGUCCGUGAAGAUCUCUAUCUCUUCUGUUAGUGCAUUCGUCGUGACUAUCAUCAGCUGCUUUUAGUUAUUUUCCUGCUCAAGUCAUAGGAAUAUGAAAUGAACUGGAAAAAUAUAUAUAUAGAUUGAUACCCCUAUCCCUGAAUAAGUGCCAACAUACAUUUGUGUUCCAGGAUAAAGGCCACUUUUGGAGUUAAGUGCACAAAGCAAUGGCACUGCUGUUCGUUUUUAAUUGCGUAUCUUCAGUUUGUCUUUUGUUACUCAAGUCACAUUUCCUAAUUUAGCCCAAUGAAGUGCACACAUCCGUGGUAGAAUUUGUUACAGUGUUUUCUAUUUGACUGCUAUGAAGCAUUUGAGAGUUACAUGUUAUAAUUUGUCACUAUGCAAAUGGCAUUACUCUUUUAGUGGGACAAUUAUUUUCUAUUUGCUUCUGUGCUUUUAUCUCUCUACUUUGUUGCAAAUAAAACUAAGCCACAUGAGCAAUUCCUAAUUUGUAACAACAGAUUCUGUGCGUAAUGCUGAGGUCCUUUGAAUCCCACCUACACAAUAAUUAUUGUGAAUGAAGUAGCCCAGUAAAGCCAGUGCUUUACUGAAUGUUUUUAUGCAUUCAUAUGCAUCUAAGAUGCUUUUACGCAUCUUAGAAAGAUGCAUAGAACAAGAGACUGCAAUAUAAGGAAAAGGAUAUUUUAGGGGAUUCUAACAAAAAUUAUCUGUUUUAAGUCCUACCUUUCAUAUUUUGUGCUAUGAUUUGUGAUUGUCUUUGCAUGAGGACAGCAUUUCAUCAACGGAUAGGUAAGAAUUGAUCUGUUGUUUACUGUAUGUGUUCAAGCAAAAUAAAAUAGCUAUAUAUAUAUAUAUAUAUAUAUACACACACACAAAAGAAAAAAAGACUCACUUUUCUGUAGCUCACAGGUUUUUUCACACUGCCAGGUUCAAUACUGCUAUGCUUCAACAUCAGUAAGCUCUCAGAACUCAAACAGGACAUUUG